UACGGAGGGGGGCUAGCGUUGUUCGGAAUUACUGGGCGUAAAGCGCACGUAGGCGGCUUUGCAAGUUAGAGGUGAAAGCCCGGGGCUCAACUCCGGAAUUGCCUUUAAAACUGCAUCGCUAGAGUUGUGGAGAGGUAAGUGGAAUUCCGAGUGUAGAGGUGAAAUUCGUAGAUAUUCGGAAGAACACCAGUGGCGAAGGCGGUUCUCUGGGCAUUACCUGACGCUGAGGAGCGAAAGUGUGGGGAGCGAAACAGGAUUGAGAACC
rnacentral:rRNA from 1 species